rnacentral:rRNA from 1 species
UGGGGAAUCUUGCACAAUGGGCGGAAGCCUGAUGCAGCGACGCCGCGUGGGGGAUGACGGCCUUCGGGUUGUAAACUCCUUUCGCCAGGGACGAAGCCGUGAGGUGACGGUACCUGGAUAAGAAGCACCGGCUAACUACGUGCCAGCAGCCGCGGUAAUACGUAGGGUGCGAGCGUUGUCCGGAAUUACUGGGCGUAAAGAGCUCGUAGGUGGUUUGUCGCGUCGUCUGUGAAAUUCCGGGGCUUAACUCCGGGCGUGCAGGCGAUACGGGCAUAACUUGAGUGCUGUAGGGGAGACUGGAAUUCCUGGUGUAGCGGUGAAAUGCGCAGAUAUAAGGAGGAACACCGAUGGCGAAGGCAGGUCUCUGGGCAGUAACUGACGCUGAGGAGCGAAAGCAUGGGUAGCGAACAGG